CCUGUCACUUAGGAGGCGACAGAGCUGGGACAGAGAUACCUUUAUCCGUAUUCACAUCUUCAUGUAUGGGUUGGAAGCAGGCAGCAGCUUACACCUAAAUGUGGCCUUUCGGCUAUACAUCCUGUUUACCACGAGCGUUCUUUUUAUUGUCUUUGUCUUAUUUUUUCCCUUCUUCAAUGAGGUUGAUUAACACAUAAGGAAAUUCUCGCUCAGGUACAGAUGGUCCCUGCAUAAUGCUGUGUGUAAGGAUAAAGAUGACAAUAUUAUAAAGAUGGACUGUCUGGGAAGGCCAGGCCAUCCUCUUCAGCUACCUGGGAGAGAAGCUCAGAGAGAAGAGGAAGCUGGGAUGAGACAAGAUCACUCACUCAUUUUGAAGGUGCUAGGAGACAGAGCCCAGGAAGUUGGCCUCGUAACAUCAGUGUGAGAGUGGCUGUACCUGUAAGGGAUCCUCUGUGACAUCAUGUCUCAGACAGGAAAGGGCUUCUGAGACCCUCAUUACCUGUACUGAAAUGAAAUUGAUAAUAAACAUUUUGAUAGUCUCAGAAAAGUG